AUUCGAAAACCUUCUCGGCUUUCGUCUCCUCGGCAUGGAAGUCGACUUGGAGAUCCGCGAAGCCCGAAGCUCUUCGGGAGGAAGCAAUCCGUCUACAGGAAUCUUGUGAGAUCCGCGGGUAACCGUACAAGAGACAGCAGUACUACAUGAAGAAUUCCCUUCACUCUCUCGUACCCAAGCGGAAGCUCUACCUCCGCGGUACAAUGUGGCUGUCCUGCCUUUCCUUAUAAGUUAAUACAGUUUAGGAUAUUGAAUAAGAGAGAGAAUGCAUCAUUGUCUAAACAAUUUACAAUCAUACGAAACUCAAGCACACUGUUCUUGAUGGAUACUGUAAGGAGUUAAAUUUUAGUCGACAGCACCAUUCCUGGUGCAAGCCAUAUUGACAAAUAUAUCUUUGCUUGGAUUGAACUUCUGUUUUGCCAUUUUAUUUGAAGUUCCUCUAGCAAACUCUCAUAAUUUUGUGCAGCCUGAUGAUCAUAUUUUAUCAGACGAUGAUA